rnacentral:lncRNA from 1 species
AUGGUGGGCAGGGCUUGCGGCUGGCAACCGUUGACAGCCACUCCUUCCCUUUCCUCGGCCCCCCUUUCCCCCUCAGAAGAGACAGCAUGCCCGGAGAGAAAUACAGCUGUACUAUUGCGGCAAGCGACUGUUUUCAGGAGGGAGAGCAGCCAGUAUUUACAUAGCUGUCAUGUCUCCUUUCAACUUUCUCUUCUACAGUAUACAUAUGGGUUGUUCCGCUCUACUGUCAUAGCACUCCUGCAGGGAAAGCUGAAAAAUGAGAAUGUCUACAAGUUACAUACAAUGCUCUGCUACAUUCAACUUCCAGCUUCAAUGUCAUUGAUUCCAACAUCAAUUCAAUGUCUUAUUUUGCCAUUUGGGUGCUUUAUUUUGUUCCACCUGUCAAUGUAUUGGAUCAAACAAUGCACUGCUAUGAAUUUUUCAGAUUGUAAAUAGGGAAGCACAAUGGCACUUAAUUUUGUUAACAUUGGAAUUAAGUGAGAUCAGAAAAGUCACCCACUGUAUGAGUACCUUACACUUUCUUGUUUUAGGGAUUUGAAUACUGUGGAACACCCUUCAUCCUGCAAAGACACCCAUUGGCUUGUAGAAUAUUAUGCUGGAGGGUUACUAUAUGAGUAGUGUAUACAUUUAUAUAUGUGCGUGUAUGUAUGGACACACAGACACAAUGUACUGAUAUCACAUCACAGUUAGUAAUAAACAUGAGGAUAUGAAACCCUGUGGUCAUGCUGGUUACUAUGCAAUUGCUGUCAAACUCUGCCUAUGCGGGUUUUGACAUAUCUGUUGCUGAAGCCAGAUGGACUAUGUAAUGGAGCAUGAGGGAAAAGAAUCUCUGUGUGCCCUUCACCAUAAAGGAGGAUCCCAGCAUUGUUUUGCAGUUUCUCAGAAGGUUAUAUGGACAUGUGCUCCUUUUCUCCUGGCUUUGUGAGUUUAGCCCUGAAUAUUCGUGUGGGCGCAGGUCAAACGUGUCCGAUAACAUGCAUCCUGCCCCUGCCAUUCCUUUCAUAGAACCUGGACCCCUGAAUGCAGCAAAAAGGACGCACAAGGCCAAGCGAUCAUGUGCUAUGCUGAUAUCCUUUUAGUGUUGAUUAAUGUGGCUCUCUGACACCACAAGGUUCCUGGGCAACAGGUGACUUGUAUUACAUUCUUUUGAAUGUUUAACACCAUGUGCCUCAACUGCAGCUUAGCUGUGACAGAGUAAUCUUUUCUUUAGAUACUAGAAAUGCAUUUCAUUCACAGGACCCUGAUAGGAUUAGAGAAGGCAUUAGAGUAAUUAAGGUCAAAGGGACAACCAUUUACUAAAUCCCUAAACCCAGGACUUAACUCCAAUAUGAUUCAGGAAUAUUGCAGGUCAAAGGGUCAACUGCUAUAGUAUAUUGCAUUUUUUUUUGGUCUGGGUCUAACAUAUGGGUGGAUCUUAAUGCAGAAAGUUCCAAAUGUACAACAAGCCCAUUUGCUCUGUGGGUGCCUACCUUGUAAAUGAAAUGCAAACUAAUAGCUGUGAGUAGAAUGCCUCAGCAAUUGCACCUGCAUAUUAUGACCCAUCUGGCAGAGCAUCUGAGGAAAACUGCUUACAAGAUAACAAGGUGUGAAUCUAUGCACAAUUACUUUCAAAUGAGCUCCAGGUCAGACUUUUAAAUGCACACCUCAUCCCAUCGGGCUGAGAGAGAAAAGAAACCUUUUAUUCAAUUUCAGCAAGGGAUUUAUGAGUCAAUGGACCUAACUGGAUAUCUCCUUUUAGGCAGAGAAGAAUAAUUUAAUCUCUAACUCUUACAACUUUGAGAAAAAAAUAUAUUUAGCGAAUUCCCUGUUUACCUCUUUCCUGCUACUAUACAUUUGGUUUGCUAAAUGUUCAUGUGCAUGUGCCUUCAAGUCACCCGUCAACAUAUAGUGACCCUAUGGAUUUCAUAGGGGUCUCUUAAACAAGGAAUACUCUUCCCUUUUUGCUCCACCUGCUAUUGGUCAGCAGUCUCCCAUCAGGUACUAACCAGAACUGACACUGCUUAGCAACCAAGAUCAGUUGGGAUCUGGUGCCUUUAGGAUAUUUUGUUGCUGUUGACUUCCAUCAAGUCAGCUUUGACUUAUGAUUUCCAAGAACUUCAUUACAUUGAGGUUCAGAAGCCGGGGAACAUCGGGAGCAUUCAUUGGGCAAUGGGGCAAAUCCAGUGGGCAACAAAGGAACCCAUUGCCCCACAUCACUUACAUUGCCCAUGUUCCCAUCCUAUGAGGGGAAGCAUCACCCCCCGACUUUCCCCCGCGCUUUCCCGGUUCUACCUUAUGAGAACAUGAGAAGCCUCCCGUGUUCUUAGGGCUCCGUCGUAGAAUGCUUUUAACACAGAGACAGUAUGGAGCCCAGUCAGAAGUAGCCCUGCAUUAUGUGAUGGGCCGUGUCCAGCUCUGUCUUAUGACGUAGCCCAAACCUCAUGUGAUAAGGUUGCAAGUCAUCCUAUCCUCAAUAGCCCUGCUCAUGUCUUGCAGACUAGAGCCAUGGCUUCUUUGAUUGAGUUUAUUCAUCUGGACUAUGAUUGUCCUCUUUUUCUUCUGCCUUCUGUCUUACCAAGUAUUAUUGUCUUCUCAAUUGAGUCAGGUCUUCUCAUGAUAUGGCCGAAGUCAUCUUGAUGUCUAGGGAUAAUUCAGGCUUCAUUUGUUUUAGGACUGAUUUGUUUCCCUAUUUAUGGUGCUAUGCUGUGUUUAAAAUCAAUUUUGAAUGGUUUUGAUUCUAUUCUUAUUUUAAUGUUAUUUUAAAAAUGUUUUUAACUAUUUUUAUUGUUGUUUCAAUUUUCUGUUUCUGUUUCGAUUUUGGGCUUGUCCCCGUGUGAGCCGCUCCGAGUCCUUAUUGGGAAGAUGGAGGUGGCAUACAAAAAUAAAGUAGCAAUAGUAGUAGUAGUUGUUGUUGUUGUUGUUAUUACAUUCUGGGGUGUUUUUUUUUUUUUGCAAGGGUCCUUGAGAAAGUCUAAAAUAUAAGUAAAGAAAUGGACAGUUGGAGAGCAAAGAUGGGGUCUAUUACUACUGACAACAUGACUAUAUGACUAAGAGAGAAAUGUAAAUGUAACAGGAAUUAAAGUCAAGCCUGAGAAUAUCAAUCUGUAGACUGUAAAGCAAGAUAGCAAAAAAGAAGGAAUAUGCUCAGGACCCCAAAACCCUGGAUCUGCAUUGUUUGUCCCCUACAGACACACUGUUACUUAUGUAGCUAUACAUUUCUUCCUUUCCAACAUUUCUACUCUUCAUAGCCUGCAUAUUGGUUGCACCUAAGUUUAGUUGUGUAACAAGGAUCUAUUUGCUGUACACGACUGCAAAGCUGCAUUACCCAGCUAUGUUUGGAGAAAGCACCCUGGUGUCUGCAGUGGGAUCUAAUCAUAUUACUUCUCAUAAGCCUCACGUUUCUAUGGUUUGCUGUGGAAUCAGUCUCCAUGUUGUUAUUUAGAUUUCUUAGCCAACCUAGCCUUUGGGCUCAAUCAGGUUGUAAUUUAAAAAUUGAAUGAAAACUAAAAAUACACAACAUAUAAUUAAAUAUAUAGGAAAACAUACUAUUAAAAUAACCUCAUACUAAAAUAACUCUUGUCUUAUUUCUGGCUACUAAAUGCAUGUAUUGAGGGUCAGGGUUAGUAAAAAGGGGAGGCAUUGUAUGUGGGCUAUUAGAAAUUCUGAGACAGGCUGGGGAAAUUUUUCAUCUUAUUUGCAAGCUGCUGUUCACUGCAUCAUCAAUUCCUGCAAGCCAUGGGUUCAAAAUAAAGGCUCAGAAUAUAAAUUUUACCAUCAGGAAUUCUUGGAUAGUUUCUGCAAAGGGUUUCCAUUAUGAGAUGAGCCCCAUUCAGCCAUUCUCCUGCCCUAUGGCUCCGCUCCCUGAGUCUGGUAUAACUGCUCUAUUCCCUGCUGUCCAUGCAUUAGGGCCAAGGGUCUGAAGUUGAAGUCAUAGCUGUUCUCAUUGGUUCCUAAACAAUUUCCAAUGUCAUUCCUAAGUAAAAGUUGUGGUUGUCUUUUGGACUUGUAGGAGGCCGCUUCUGCACAUCUAUUGUCAUCAGCUGGGUGUUAUAUUUGGUGUAUAUUUUGUAAAAUGUAAGGUCUUGCAGACCUAUAUACUGGAAGGGGAAAUGACAAUAAAUGUAUUACCUAACUGGUGUUUUCACACAAUAAACUGAAUAUGAUGAAACCAGUGGCAGGUGUUCAGCUAUCUAGGUCUCAACAACAGGAUGAAGUAGAUACAGGCAAUGGCAUCACUUGGGGUGGGAGGGGGGGGAGUCCAAACCUCACCAGGUUACACCAUCUAUCAAAAUCUUGUGGAAUGUUUCAUCACAAAAAUAAUCCUGUAUUUAUAUAUGGCCACAAAAACACUUUCCUAAGCCCAUCUUACAUGCAUUGGAUCCAAGUUACCUACAGGACCGCCUUCUCCUAUACAAUCUGCCCUGCACACUCAGGUCAUCUGAGGGGCCAGAACUUAACUGGCCACUGUCACCAGUGGAUCUUUUUCAUCAACCACCCCAAGAUUGUGGAGCAACCUGCCGGAAGAGAUCUGACAGCUAUAUCAGCUGUUGGAAUUUAAAAACCAUUUAAAAACCUAUCUCUUCCAGCAGGCCUACCCAGUCAGGUGAAAGCGAGCAUUUUAAACUCAUGUCCUUUGUUUAGGUUUCUG